AACGAACGCUGGCGGCGCGUUUUAAGCAUGCAAGUCGAGCGGUAAGGUCCUUCGGGACCCCAGAGCGGCGGACGGGUGAGUAACACGUGGAUAAUCUGCCUUCCAGUCCGGGAUAGCACAUGGAAACAUGUGAUAAUACCGGAUACGAUGUGCCUGUCACAUGGCGGGUGCAGGAAAGGUCCUGCGGGAUCGCUGGGGGAUGAGUCCGCGGCCCAUUAGCUUGUUGGCGGGGUAAAGGCCCACCAAGGCGACGAUGGGUAGCCGGCCUGAGAGGGUGGACGGCCACAUUGGGGACUGAGACACGGCCCAGACUCCUACGGGAGGCAGCGGUAGGGAAUUUUUCGUCAAUGGGGGCAACCCUGAACGAGCAAUGCCGCGUGAGUGAGGAGGGUCUUC
rnacentral:rRNA from 1 species